GGUUUAGUGAGGCUUCCUGACUGGCGCCGAUACUCUGGCAACAGAGCGUCGGAUGCCGGAAAGUUGGUCAAACUUGAUCAUUUAGAGGAAGUAAAAGUCGUAACAAGGUUUCCGUAGGUGAACCUGCGGAAGGAUCAUUACCGAUACAACAACGACUCUGUCGUCUGCUGUGUGAACCGUACCCAACCUUAUUCAGGGGUCGGCCCGGGGGGCCGUUAAAUGGCGAUCGGACGGGAAGUCUCGCGGCCGCUUCGCCUGCCCCGCCUUGGUUUUUUUUUAAACAUACGUGUCUUGUCUGAUGUCUGUCGAGGCGUCCGCCUCGUCAAGUAGAACAAAAAGCGAGAGACAACUUUUGACGGUGGAUCUCUUGGCUCACGCAUCGAUGAAGAACGCAGCCAGCUGCGAUAAGUAGUGUGAAUUGCAGAAUUCAGUGAAUCAUCGAAUCUUUGAACGCAAAUGGCGCUCUUGGGUUCUCCCAGGAGCAUGUCUGUCUGAGUGUCGGAUUGUCAUCCAUCGCGGGUGCGCGCUGCCGUGCGCGCGCCGGCGGCGUUGAGGCGUCACGGCCUUUCACAAAAAUCGGCCGUGUCCCUCGAAAGGCAGAGAGACUCGCUGUGGUUCGGGGCUCGUUCCCGCAGCGCAGCAGCGGAGGCCAAAAGUGUCAGCACUCCUUCGCGCGCUGCCGGGACCCCGCCGCGUCCGAGUCGUUCUAGGCGAAGAACCAUGAUUCAUCCUCUUGACCUCAGAUCAGGCAAGGC
rnacentral:sRNA from 1 species